rnacentral:rRNA from 1 species
GACGAACGCUGGCGGCGUGCUUAACACAUGCAAGUCGAACGAUGAAGCCUUUCGGGGUGGAUUAGUGGCGAACGGGUGAGUAACACGUGGGUAAUCUGCCUUGCACUCUGGGAGUAAGCCUGGGAAACUGGGUCUAAUACCGGAUAUGACUACUUCACGCAUGUGGGGUGGUGGAAAGUUCUGGCGGUGUGAGAUGAACCCGCGGCCUAUCAGCUUGUUGGUGGGGUGAUGGCCUACCAAGGCGACGACGGGUAGCCGGCCUGAGAGGGCGACCGGUCACACUGGGACUGAGACACGGCCCAGACUCCUACGGGAGGCAGCAGUGGGGAAUAUUGCACAAUGGGCGAAGGCCUGAUGCAGCGACGCCGCGUGAGGGAUGACGGCCUC